GCAUUUGAGGGCAACGUGGCUGAGACAUCUAUCACCCCAUUGAUCGCAAGGGUCGAUUCAGCUGAUCCGGUUGGCUAGGUGGGUUUCCCCUUUCUCCC
rnacentral:snRNA from 1 species